GACGAACGCUGGCGGCGUGCUUAACACAUGCAAGUCGAACGGGCCCGCUCUCUUUUUUGGGGGUGGGUUGAGUGGCGAACGGGUGAGUAUCACGUGAGUAACCUGCCCCCUGCUCCUGGAUAACUGCUUGAAAGGGCGGCUAAUACGGGGUGUGCCGGCUGGUCCGCAUGGGCCUGGUCGGGAUAGUUUCAUCUUCGGGUGUUUCGGUGGGGGAUGGGCUCGCGGCCUAUCAGCUUGUUGGUGGGGUGAUGGCCCACCAAGGCGGUGACGGGUAGCCGGCCUGAGAGGGUGGGCGGCCACACUGGGACUGAGACACGGCCCAGACUCCUGUGGGAGGCAGCAGUGGGGGGUAUUGCACAAUGGGCGGAAGCCUGAUGCAGCGACGUCGCGUGAGGGAUGGAGGCCUUCGGGUUGUGAACCUCUUUCUCCGGUGGUGAAGGCCCUGUCCGUUGCGGCGGGGUUGACGGUAGCCGGGUAUGAAGCGCCGGCUAACUACGUG
rnacentral:rRNA from 1 species